CAGUAGCCGCGGGAAUGCGUAGGUGGCAAGCGUUGUCCGGAAUUAUUGGGCGUAAAGGGCUCGCAGGCGGUUUCUUAAGUCUGACGUGAAAGCCCCCGGCUCAACCGGGGAGGGUCAUUGGAAACUGGGAAACUUGAGUGCAGAAGAGGAGAGUGAAAUUCCACGUGUAGCGGUGAAAUGCGUAGAGAUGUGGAGGAACACCAGUGGCGAAGGCGACUCUCUGGUCUGUAACUGACGCUGAGGAGCGAAAGCGUGGGGAGCGAACAGGAUUAGAUACCCCUGUAGUCCCUGUCUCUUAUAC
rnacentral:rRNA from 1 species